rnacentral:rRNA from 1 species
UUUCUUCGGAACACUGGAGACAGGUGGUGCAUGGUUGUCGUCAGCUCGUGUCGUGAGAUGUUGGGUUAAGUCCCGCAACGAGCGCAACCCUUAUUCUUAGUAGCCAGCAGGUAAAGCUGGGCACUCUAGGGAGACUGCCAGGGAUAACCUGGAGGAAGGUGGGGAUGACGUCAAAUCAUCAUGCCCCUUAUGAUUUGGGCUACACACGUGCUACAAUGGCGUAAACAAAGGGAGGCGAAGGAGCGAUCUGGAGCGAACCCCAAAAAUAACGUCUCAGUUCGGAUUGCAGGCUGCAACCCGCCUGCAUGAAGCCGGAAUCGCUAGUAAUCGCAGAUCAGAAUGCUGCGGUGAAUACGUUCCCGGGUCUUGUACACACCGCCCGUCACACCAUGGGAGUCGAUAACGCCCGAAGUCAGUGACCCAACCGAAAGGAGGGAGCUGCCGAAGGCGGGAUUGAUAACUGGGGUGAAGUCGUAACAAGGUAGCCGUAUCGGAA